UGGCUUUCGUUGAUCCAUUAACUAUAAUUACAACACAAAAGGGCUCCAAGAUCUCAAGCUGCAGCACCAAUUCAAGGACCCAGGUCCGAACCUUGAACCAGAAAGGAGGAGCGGAGGUCAUCCUGACUGAGGAUGAGGACCAGCAGCAGCUUCAACAGCUGAACCAGCACAUGGAUGCGUUCCCAGAUAGUGGGGACUUUUCGAUUUGUGUUCUAAAAGUGAACAUACACUGUAAUGGCUGUAAGCAGAAAGUGAAGAAAAUCUUGCAGAAAAUUGACGGGGUGUACACCAUCAAAAUAGAUGCAGAACAGGGCAAAGUGACCGUUUCCGGGAACGUAGACCCAGCUCCACUCAUCAAGAAGCUCAUAUCAGGCAAACAUGCAGAGCUUUGGGGCGCUCAGAAGUCCAACGACCAGCUCAAGAACAUGCGAAUUGAUAAUGGCAAAGGUGGAAACAAGGGCCAAAAGGGCGGUGGCGGAGUUGAAGGAAACAACCAGCCUAAGGUUGGUCAGAACCUCCCGAACCAGCAGCAGCUUCAACAUCUGAACCAGCAGCAGCUUCAGCAGCUCCAGCAGAUGAAAGCGUUCCAAGAUCUCAAGCUGCCCCAAUUCAAGGACCUCAAGAUGCCCUCCAAGGACCCGGGUCCGAUCCUGAACCAGAAAGGAGGAGGGAAAUUCAUUCUGCCUGAGGAUGAGGAAUUCACUGAUGAAGAGUGGGAUUAUGAUGAAGAUGAUGAUUUUAUGGAUGAUGAGGAUUUUGAUGAUUAUGAUGAUGCCUACCACCAAGCACCCAACAAGACGAAGCCAAUGAUGGGCAAUGGCCAGAUGCCCAACAUGAUGAUGCUAAAUGAGAUGAUGAAUAGGAAUCAUGCCCAGCAGCUCUUGAAUGCUCAAAAGGGUGGGGGAAAUGUUGGAGGUAGCGCUGGUAAUUAUGGCAAGAAAGGUGGCGGUGGUGGUAAAAAUGGUGCAAGAACGGGGGUAAUGCCAAAAAUGGUAACCAUGGCGGUAACCCUAAAAACAAGAAUGGCAGCGGCGGCAGUCCCAGUGGCAACAUCAAUGGGAACGGCGGCAAAAAGGGUGGAGGAAUGGAAAAUGGGUUCCUCCACGUGGGUGGUGGUGCUAAUGGAAGUGGUGGUCAGAUGGGUGGUAUGAAGAUUCCAAUGGGUCAUAUGGGCAGCAUGCCAAGCAAUUUCCCGGCUGUCCCAGGCCUCCCAGAUGCCUCGCUGGGCAGCGGCGGAAGAGUGGGCGGAGCCAAUGGCUACUUCCCUGGGGCCAGGGCGGAAGCCAUGCCCGGAAAUCCUUACCACCACCAGCAGCAGCAGCAGCAGUACCUAGCCCUUCUGAUGAAUCAUCUGAAGGCUAUGGGCGAUGCGGGGUUCCAGCCCAUGAUGUACGCGUGGGCGCCAACAGCUAUCAACUACAUGUGGCCGUACCCUUACUUGUACCCGGGGCCAUAUGCCGGCUUGUGCCCGUGCCCAUGCGAGGAGUCACCCGACUCAUUCAGUGAUGAGAACACAUCAAGUUGCAAUGUGCCGUGAGAGACUUUGCUGCCUGCUUAUAGAUAGAGUUGCUGCUGUUGAAAGUGGGGUUUUGGUCUUAAGAGUUCGUGGUGGUAACUGAAAAUCUCAUGCUAUAUCACACUUGCUGAUGGGUUUUCUA